rnacentral:snRNA from 1 species
AGCUUUGCACAGUGGCAGUAUCGUAGCCAAUGAGGUUUAUCCGAGGCGCGAUUAUUGCUAACUGAAACAUUGGUGUGCAUGUAUCCCUGUAGUAUGAUGACUUGAGCUCUUUGAGAAAGA